GAUGAAGAACGCAGCGAAAUGCGAUAAGUAAUGUGAAUUGCAGAAUUCAGUGAAUCAUCGAAUCUUUGAACGCACAUUGCGCCCAUUAGCAUUCUAGUGGGCAUGCCUGUUCGAGCGUCAUUUCAACCCUUAAGCCCUGUUGCUUAGCGUUGGGAGCCUACAGUACUGUAGCUCCCCAAAGUUAGUGGCGGAGUCGGUUUCACACUCUAGACGUAGUAAAUUUUUCUCGUCUGUAGUUGAGCCGGUCCCCUGCCGUAAAACAUCCAUUUUAUCAAGGUUGACCUCGGAUCAGGUAGGAAUACCCGCUGAACUUAAGCAUAUCAAUAAGCGGAGGA
rnacentral:misc_RNA from 1 species